GACGAACGCUGGCGGCGCGCUUAACACAUGCAAGUCGAGCGAAGCGGCGGUCGGGUGAGUAACACGUGAUUAAACUGCCUAAGACAUUGGGACAGCCACGGGAAACCGGGAUUAAUACCAAAUGGUCUAAGAUGGGAUCGCGUCCCAUUAGCUAGUUGGUGAGGUAACGGACCACCAAGGCGACGAUGGGUAGCCGGCCUGAGAGGGGGAACGGCCAGUUUGGAACUGAGAAACGGUCCAAACUGUACGGGAUGCAGCAGUGGGUAAUAUUGCACAAUGGAGGAAACGCUGAUGCAGCGACGCCGCGUGAACGAAGAAGUCUUUCGAGUCGUAAAGUUCUUUUAUAUGGGAAGCGGUACCAUAAGAAAAAGCCCCGGCUAACUACGUGCCAGCAGCCGCGAUAAUAC
rnacentral:rRNA from 1 species